rnacentral:rRNA from 1 species
AGAGUUUGAUCAUGGCUCAGGAUGAACGCUAGCUACAGGCUUAACACAUGCAAGUCGAGGGGCAGCAUGUUGGUUGCUUGCAACCAAUGAUGGCGACCGGCGCACGGGUGAGUAACGCGUAUCCAACCUACCCUUGUCCAUCGGAUAACCCGUCGAAAGGCGGCCUAACACGAUAUGCGGUUCUCAGCAGGCAUCUGACGAGAACGAAAUGUGAAGGAGAAGGAUGGGGAUGCGUCUGAUUAGCUUGUUGGCGGGGUAACGCCACAAGGCGACGAUCAGUAGGGUUCUGAGAGGAAGGUCCCCANAUUGGAACUGAGACACGGUCCAAACUCCUACGGGAGCA